GGGGGAUAUUGCACAAUGGGCGCAAGCCUGAUGCAGCGACGCCGCGUGAGGGAUGACGGCUUUCGGGUUGUAAACCUCUUUCGUUACCGAACAAGGCUCUGCUUUUUGGUGGGGUUGAGGGUAGGUGGAUAAGAAGCGCCGGCUAACUACGUGCCAGCAGCCGCGGUAAUACGUAGGGCGCGAGCGUUGUCCGGAAUUAUUGGGCGUAAAGAGCUCGUAGGCGGCUUGUCGCGUCUGCUGUGAAAACGCGGGGCUUAACUCCGCGCGUGCAGUGGGUACGGGCAGGCUAGAGUGUGGUAGGGGUGACUGGAAUUCCUGGUGUAGCGGUGGAAUGCGCAGAUAUCAGGAGGAACACCGAUGGCGAAGGCAGGUCACUGGGCCAUUACUGACGCUGAGGAGCGAAAGCAUGGGGAGCGAAC
rnacentral:rRNA from 1 species